rnacentral:rRNA from 1 species
AACGUAGGUGGCGAGCGUUAUCCGGAUUUACUGGGCGUAAAGCGUGUGCAGGUGGCCUGUUAAGUGGUGUAUGAAAUCGCCCGGCUCAACCGGGCGGGGUUAUGCCAGACUGGCAGGCUAGAGGGUGGGAGAGGGAUGUGGAAUUCCAGGUGUAGCGGUGAAAUGCGUAGAUAUCUGGAGGAACACCGGUGGCGAAGGCGACAUCCUGGACCGGUAUUGACGCUGAGGAGCGAAAGCGUGGGGAGCGAACAGG